rnacentral:misc_RNA from 1 species
AAUUUAACUUCAAAUUGCCAUAAAUAAAGACAUAAAAAUCUUUUCCCACGAACUUAGUUCCUUGUCAAGUAUGAUACAUCGAAUGUGUCACCCGAAAUCUCGAAAACGACUAUUGGUCAGAGAAGAAAGAACAGUCCUAAUAAGGCAGUGGAAAAAACCCAAAGAGACCCCCUUUAUAAAAAGGAGGGGUCGAGACGGAAGAGUCAGUCUCUGGAAAUUUGUGCGCACUGUGUUUUUUAGAAAAACGGAUAAGUCGCUACCAGGAACUCGCUGUUCGAAGGGACUACGCCGACAACGUUCGAAGGAACUUUGUGAUACUAAAAACCCGGUUCAACGUUCGAAGGAACUUGUGAAGACCCAUUAACGAUUCAACCCAGGACUAAUCAACGAUUGAAACUAAGACGUUAUUGGAAGACGAUGAAAACAUUGAUAGACCUAUAAUGAAGCAUGCUGAUAAAGGUAUAAUGACAGAUUCAUUACUAAUCAGGUAGGUAGAAUUUUAAAAUGAUUUUUUAUAUUGAAUUACUAAUACAGUUCUUCUUAGAUAAAAACUACAGCUUAUUUAAAUAUGUGAUUGCUUUAAUUAA